GGGUCAAAUACAUGAACACAACAACGUGUAGCUAUGAAUGGAGAGGGAUGCUUUAAGAAAACACCGAAACGCAGCACUUUGACCUGAACAAACUAGAACAUUCAUCGGUAUGUAAUAAUGUACAUGGUUGUAAACAGGGUUGACGGGGGGGUUCGAUUCCAUUUCAAAUCAGAAAGUUAAAACCAAAUUACAAUUCCAAAUGUUUCCUCAUUAAAAAGCAUUGACGAUUGUUGAAAUUCCAAUUUUUCCUUCCUGAAUUGAAAUGGAAUUUACCCCCAACCUUGGUUGUAAACUAAUAGAUGUCCACUCUGGGCCACCGUAGUAGUGGACAUAAGAGCCUGGAGUUACUACUGACCCCUUGACCUGACCAGGUAGGCAUAUUUAACAGCUGUUUGGCUGUUGUUUGGCAGACCAGGUUCAUUCAUAUACCAAAUCAAUUCCUUUCCUUUUUAAGACAACACUGACCGGUGUCUAAGAGCAUUGGGCUUAAUAUAAAGGAGACUGGGGCUGCAUGGGAGAUAUCUCAAUCCACUACACUGGCUUCCUUCUUUCAUCUCCUUUCCUUCAUGAUAGGUGAGAGAGGCUUUCACCAUAUGUUGCUUCCACCUGCCAGAUCAGAGAUCACGAAGGAGAAGUACAAUGAAAGGAAGCACGCUUACACUAUUGAGACAGCCCAGGUCCUGUAUCUAGAUUGGGGAAGUAACCUAUUAUACUCACUACUUAAAUAAACACAUUUUUAAAAAAGAAUUUGCAAGGCACAGUGAAAUUUACAACUGGUAAACAUCAGUUACCUAGACAUCAUUAAAUCCAGUAGGUUUCUAGUAAUAUGGCCUAACGACAGAUUCUAAUUUGGUCCAAAAGGAUAGACAAGUUUGAGUGCAUUUGCAGCAAACAGAUGACAUAUCUUAACCUUUAGACAGUACCAGGUCAUAUCUUAACCUUUAGACAGUACCAGGUCAUAUCUUAACCUUUAGACAGUACCAGGUCAUAUCUUAACCUUUAGGUAGUACCAGGUCAUAUCUUAACCUUUAGGUAGUACCAGGUCAUAUCUUAACCUUUAGACAGUACCAGGUCAUAUCUUAACCUUUAGACAGUACCAGGUCAUAUCUUAACCUUUAGACAGUACCAGGUCAUCUCUUAACCUUUAGACAGUACCAGGUCAUAUCUUAACCUUUAGACAGUACCAGGUCAUCUCUUAACCUUUAGACAGUACCAGGUCAUAUCUUAACCUUUAGACAGUACCAGGUCAUCUCUUAACCUUUAGACAGUACCAGGUCAUGUCUUAACCUUUAGACAGUACCAGGUCAUAUCUUAACCUUUAGACAGUACCAGGUCAUGUCUUAACCUUUAGACAGUACCAGGUCAUCUCCAUUGGCAAUCCAAUUGUGAAAGAUCUGUAUUUCUUGACCGGAGUGUUGAGGGUUAAUUGAUAAUCCCGGAUGUUGUUUGGAGUAAAAGGGUGAACGUGAGUUGAUGUACAAAUUGGUGAUCUUUCCAAGACCACUGGUAUAGAGAAAUAUACAUUACCAUUGUUAUCGUCAUAACUAAACUGAAAUGUGUUGCUUUAAAAAAAAACUAAAUUACAUAUUUAAGUAAUAUGCAAUAAUACCAAAACAUCAACCAUGUACUUUUCAAUUCAUAAUGAAACUCACAGAAGAUACCACUUCACAUGUUUCAGCAUUUAAAAGCAAAACAUGUAGAAUAGUAUAAUAGUCCCAUCAUACAAAGACUAACAUUAAGCUGAGACAAAAACCUGCUGAACAAAACAUGAAGCACUGACAGACAGAGAGAACAUGAAGCACUGAGAGAGAGAGAACAUGAAGCACUGACAGACAGAGAGAACAUGAAGCACUGACAGAGAGAGAGAACAUGAAGCACUGAGAGACAGAGAGAACAUGAAGCACAGAGAGAGAGAGAGAACAUGAAGCACUGACAGACAGAGAGAACAUGAAGCACUGAGAGAGAGAACAUGAAGCACUGACAGACAGAGAGAACAUGAAGCACUGAGAGACAGAGAGAACAUGAAGCACUGAGAGACAGAGAGAACAUGAAGCACUGAGAGACAGAGAGAACAUGAAGCACUGAGAGACAGAGAGAACAUGAAGCACUGACAGAGAACAUGAAGCACAGAGACAGAGAGAACAUGAAGCACUGACAGAGAGAGAGAACAUGAAGCACUGACAGAGAGAACAUGAAGCACUGACAGAGAGAGAGAACAUGAAGCACUGACAGAGAGAGGGAACAUGAAGCACUGACAGACAGAGAGAACAUGAAGCACUGAGAGAGAGAACAUGAAGCACUGAGAGAGAGAGAGAACAUGAAGCACUGAGAGAGAGAGAGAACAUGAAGCACUGAGAGAGAGAGAGAACAUGAAGCACUGACAGACAGAGAGAACAUGAAGCACUGACAGACAGAGAGAACAUGAAGCACUGACAGAGAGAGGGAACAUGAAGCACUGAGAGAGAGAGAGAACAUGAAGCACUGACAGACAGAGAGAACAUGAAGCACUGACAGAGAGAGAGAACAUGAAGCACUGAGAGAGAACAUGAAGCACAGAGAGAGAGAGAGAACAUGAAGCACUGACAGACAGAGAGAACAUGAAGCACUGACAGAGAGAACAUGAAGCACUGACAGAGAGAACAUGAAGCACUGACAGAGAGAACAUGAAGCACAGAGAGACAGAGAGAACAUGAAGCACAGAGAGACAGAGAGAACAUGAAGCACUGAGAGACAGAGAGAACAUGAAGCACUGAGAGACAGAGAGAACAUGAAGCACUGAGAGACAGAGAGAACAUGAAGCACAGAGAGACAGAGAGAACAUGAAGCACAGAGAGACAGAGAGAACAUGAAGCACUGACAGAGAGAACAUGAAGCACUGACAGAGAGAACAUGAAGCACUGACAGAGAGAGAGAACAUGAAGCACUGAGAGACAGAGAGAACAUGAAGCACUGAGAGACAGAGAGAACAUGAAGCACUGAGAGAGAGAGAGAACAUGAAGCACUGACAGAGAGAACAUGAAGCACUGACAGAGAGAGAACAUGAAGCACUGAGAGAGAGAGAGAACAUGAAGCACUGACAGAGAGAGAGAACAUGAAGCACUGAGAGAGAGAAC
ensembl:lncRNA